UUGGAGGGCAAGUCUGGUGCCAGCAGCCGCGGUAAUUCCAGCUCCAAUAGCGUAUAUUAAAGUUGUUGCAGUUAAAAAGCUCGUAGUUGAAUUUCGGGAUCAAGGAAUCGGUCAUGCCUUGGUAUGUACUGGUUUUAUUGGUUCUCACCUUCUAAAGAACCAUAAUGUCAUUUAUUUGAUGUUAUGGGGAAUUAGGACUGUUACCUUGAAAAAAUUAGAGUGUUUAAAGCAAGCUUACGCUUGAAUACAUUAGCAUGGAAUAAUGAAAUAGGACAUCAGAUUCUAUUUUGUUGGUUUCUAGGAUCGAUGUAAUGAUUAAUAGGGAUAGUUGGGGGCAUUAGUAUUCAAUUGUCAGAGGUGAAAUUCUUGGAUUUAUUGAAGACUAACUACUGCGAAAGCAUUUGCCAAGGAUGUUUUCGUUAAUCAAGAACGAAAGUUAGGGGAUCGAAGACGAUCAGAUACCGUCGUAGUCUUAACCAUAAACUAUGUCGACUAGGGAUCGGAUGAUGUUAAUUUUAUAAUGACUCAUUCGGCGCCUUACGGGAAAC
rnacentral:rRNA from 1 species